rnacentral:rRNA from 1 species
AAUACGGGGGGGGCAAGCGUUGUUCGGAAUUACUGGGCGUAAAGGGCGCGUAGGCGGUUCGCUAAGUCGGAUGUGAAAACUCUGGGCUCAACCCAGAGCCUGCAUCCGAAACUGGCGGGCUAGAGUUCUGGAGGGGGUAGCGGAAUUCCUGGUGUAGCGGUGAAAUGCGUAGAUAUCAGGAGGAACACCGGUGGCGAAGGCGGCUACCUGGACAGAAACUGACGCUGAGGCGCGAAAGCUAGGGGAGCAAACA